rfam:Stegodyphus mimosarum contig87766, whole genome shotgun sequence.
GCGUCGGUGGUAUAACGGUUAGCAUAGCUGCCUUCCAAGCAGUUGACCCGGGUUCGACUGCCGGCCGACGCA